rnacentral:lncRNA from 1 species
AAGAUUUCAUUUGAACUAUUUCGAAUGCGACACCAGCUUGUUGAUAGGAUUCAUUUGACAUUUGACAAAGCCCUACAAUGUGAUAUAUGUUAACACUCUAAUCACCAUGUCCAUUUAGAGGACCUUCCUUAUGAUAGGAAUAUAGGAUUCAUUUGACAAAGCCCUACAAUGUGGUCUGUUCCCUGCAUCUUCAUUUACAAGACCAAGUGACUUUUUUUCGUCUUAGAGGACUAUGGAAGAUAAAGAAUUGAAAGUAUUGCACCUCUGUUAGUUUACCACAAAUUCAAGCCAUUGCAUAAGGUGGUGUUAGUCUGUUAGAUGUUGUUUUAAAUCUUAGCAGAAGCUGCAAUCUUCAGUGAACUUACCUCAAGGUAUUUGCAGAGAUAAUGACAUUCUUCAACCAUAAACAAUUUACAUAGACUCGUGAAAAAAAUCUAUUUUUUUGUUUGACAAACUGUUUAACAAAAUCUUUAAUAGAGCACAAGAAACUGUGUUCUUACAUUUUCCUUGUUUCUGCGCGCAGGCAGCUUCAUCUAAUCAUUAUGUUUGCUGAAGCUCUUCUAAGUUCUAACUGCACUAGCAGAGCUAUCCACUAAAUGAUUUGACGCCUGAGUAUAGAAGUACCACUAAAUAAUGAAAGUGACCUUGCUAUUCUGCUAAAUGGUAACCAUUCUAGUAAUCUAUCUAACAUCUAUUUUCAUUUGCUGUUUUUUUCAUUGAGAAUCGAGAUAUAUACCAUGCCAUCCUUGUUUGAUAUUAUGCUUGUGUUCUGUAUAGAUGCCAACCCUUAUUAGAUGGAAUAGGUAUUGUAAAUGGGAUGCCAAAUUAGAUCCUAACCAGCCUUUUGAAUUCGACUGAGCUAACAACAGCUGAGUCAAGCAAAGUGUAGAGGGGUCGAUUGAUAGGCAGCCAUAGAUCAUGGUAUAAAUCACCUGUUGUUCCUUCAAAAUGUAUCACCUCUCUUGCUACACAUUUGUCAGGGAAAUCGAAAGCACCCUUGAAGAUAACGUUGCAUAGCUGUGUCAAAAUCUGACUAUAAGUCUACAUGGAGAUACCUCCCAGGUUUUUUACUAGUGGAAACCAUACCAUCUUUCAGUCGUAGGGGUUUUUGUCAGCGUGACUUAGGUUGUCAUUUCUCAGGGGAGUGCAGUAGCCUGCUAACACUCAAAUUUCCAUACAGAUAUCUGAACAUUGGUUCUGGAUGUUUAUGAAUCAUGUUUAAACAUACUUGCACUCACAUUUAGAUGAUGAAGAUAGGGUCACUUUUGUAUUGUAUUGAGAUGAAUCAUGUUGUGAAUUUGCUAAAGUUAGGAGUCAUGCCAGUUGAUGUCCUCAGGAAUUCGAAAUACAGCUUGAGAAUUGAUUUGUGUGAACCACAUCUGAGAUCUAUAGAAGAUUGGUUGAUAACUGGAUACCUUUACACUACCUGCCUUGUGAGCUAGUUUGACUAUAACGUCCCAAAUAUGCGUUGUCCAGAAUGUUAUCUACCUGAAAGUUUUACCAUGUUAUCUUCAUAAAAUAAGAUGUUGGCAUGAAUAUACUGGUGCAUAUAGGGCAGGUCUUACCCUGUGAAGCUUCGAAACCAUUCACAUCAAAUUGCAUGUUAUGGUAAUCCACUAGAUCUAGAGACCCUCUCUUCUUUGUUCACAAUGAAAUUUUCAUCCAAGUUACCUCCUAGUUCAGAACAUAGAGCCUGGGAUGUCCUUUAUUGCCUACCAAGUACCAAGUAGAUGAUUCUGAUAGGCUUCCUAAUGUGCGCAAAUAAAAGUAUUGAGCUUCUCAUUGAAGAUUAAAUUAUUAUCAUGUCUGCCUGCUUCGUGCUGGUCCCUUAACAGAUUUGGUUCUCAGUAUGUAUUCUACUGCAUAUCCAGUUUACUCUGAACUUGCAUACUCUUCAUUGAAGUUUUAUUGGAGGGAUAUUGACAACAAUCCCACUAUCUAAGUGCAGACUGUGUGGUGGAGUACCUUAAAACAUUUGAAACCAUUCUUUUGAAGGAAACAAAAGUGAACAACAACUUGUGAGAUUUAUAAUUGAAUGUGAAGGGCUUAUUUGAAAUUGCUUUUUUCAUAGGAGAUGAGGGUUAACUACAACUUAUGGGAUAUCUACUCGAAGGGUGGCUUGUUAAAAAUGAAUAUCAUCUUUUCACAGUGUAGGACAAUUGAUGCAGCUAGCAAUAUGAGUAUUAUGAGAAGUUAGUGACGAUCACCAGAUUGUCUCCCAUGCAGUGUUAUUAAUUCCUUAAAGUUUUUGAAUGAUCUUGAGUAUGUGCGCUUCCAGAAUUAUGUUAGUUAAUGUACUCAUCAAAUGGGGAAAAAAAUCCAUUGAAUGAAUGUCAUUAAAUGGAAAUAAUUACUCUUAUUAAAUCGUAGGCUUAUGUUAUGAGGGUUGAUUGUGUUAAUGGAAUGAAUACUAAACUACUAAAAAUCAUAAUUAUUUAAGCGACACACCUGUCUUAUGAACGUACUUACACUUAUACACACAACAUAGAUUUCCUUACUUUAGUCUAGGCCAUCAAAUAGUUUUUCCUAUUGUAUCUUUUAUCAUUUGCAGUGAAUGUAAAUUUGUGUUGUUGAUGCUUAGAGGCAAGACUGCACCUGGAAAUGAAGAUGAAAAAGUGAUACAUAGUAUAGAACUUAUUCUAACAUGUUUUGAGUAGAUGGUUGAGUCCUUUAAAUCCCCCAUGCUUAUGAUGUUCUAAUAUGUCUUUCAGAAUUUGUGCUGAUCGUCAAAUACCAGUCCUUCUGUAUCAUUUCACAACGUCAGUGCACCUUUGUUCUCCGUUGGCAAAAUCUUGAUGUCACCGAAUGUGUCUAUGCCAUUUGAUUGAGGUAAUUGAUUAUUCUUUCGACUAUAUUAACAUCUUUGGGUAUGGAGAGCGUUUCUGUGAAACAUCUUUGUUUCACCAUCUGAUAGCAUUGUAAUGUCUCAGCCAGUUGUGGUUUGAGACCGGAACCCUUUCCUCCAUUUUAUUAUAUUUAUCACUUGCACUGGAACAUUUCCUUCAACCAAAAUUAUAUACAUUAAAAAAAUCAUGAUUCUUCAGUCUUAUCUAAAUGACAUGAAUUCUUCUGUGGUGGUGGUCAAAAGAGAGUAACAAGAAUUCUCUACAUUGGGGUUUUACUUUCAAAGUUCUGAGAGCAGGUUUCGAGUAUUGAAAUCAAGUAUGAUGAUUUGAAUACUGCAUUUUUAUGGAUUCGUAGAACUAUCAAACUCUAAUUACUUAAACUCUAUCUUUCUUAAGUCUUAACUUAUUUUUCACCCUACACCAUUAGCUAAAGUUAAGAGGGCAGGUUUAGCCACAAUGAAGCAUGAUGCUUCCUGAAAACAUGGCC